AGAGAGAGAGAGGGAGAGAGAGAGAGAGAGAGAGAGAGAGAGAGAUUGAGAGAGAUUGUUAAGAAGAUUUAAAUUAACAUAUUUUCAAAUAUUACUGCAAGGUCACCUAGAGGGAAACAUCUUUAACAAAUGGAAAUUUGUUUUACAAAGAGAAUUGAAGAUUGAACUCUGGUUAUUCUAUCAGUGAGCAACAUCUCCAGUACUUCUUUAAAUUUUUAUUUUGAGAUAGGUUCUCACUAAUUUGCUAAGGCUGGUUUACAAACAUGAUAUCUUCCUGUGUCAGCCUCCUAAAUCUAUGGGAUUAUAAGCAUGCACCACUACUGUUCUUGAGUACAAAAAAAUUUUAAAUGAACAACUAAAAUAUAAGAAAAUCAGACUUUGGAAACCUCUCUAGCUAAUAAGACCUUUUAAUCUGAAAUAUUUUCUAAUCCGAAGUGGCACCUUAGUGAAUAUGGCAAAGAAGAUUUUCUGUGUCCGCCUGACUUGAUAAAUUACUUGGGAAAGUUUCCUUGAGCAUUUUAAAGUUUCCCCUUCCUGUUAUAAUUGGCCACAAGUUUCAGUCAUUUUAGAAAGUGGUUUGUAGAGGAUUAGGGAUGUAGCUUAAUGGUAGAGUGCUUGCCUAGCGUGCCAAGGAGGGCCUUAGGUUCAAUCACACACACACACACACACACACACACACACAGUACUUACUUUAGGUUUUAAAACAUUUCCCUUUGUCUCAAAUUUUAGACAUGCUCUGUCAGAAGUUUUUUUUUUUUUAACCCUUUGUUUUAUUGCCCAAGAGCUCUAGUUUAGUGCACAAGAAAACCAAUUUAGAGAUAUCAAGUUUACCUCAUUAAGAGAAACAUAAAGCCAAAAUCCUUAGUUGAAUUUCUCUGUUUUCCUAAGUAUUUGCAAGUUGAGGCACCAUAAUUACCAAAUACCAACCUUGUUGAAAUACCAAAUGUCAGUUUCUUCCCCAAACAGCUUCCUUCAUUGAUUUCUGUUUUCUAUUUUAGCAGAGACUCCCAGUCUCCCCCGAAAUGUUGACUUCUACCCUGAUAGAACUUGUGUUUUCGAUUGGUUUUCUAUGCUGCUUCUGGAAGUAGCUUCUUCGGCUUUUGCUCUGAGGCCAGUUUCCCCACCAGUGUUUUAGGUUUAUCCUGCACAUUUACAAAACAAACAAAGACACUGGGUGAUCACUUCCUAUGUCUUCCCAGAUGAGCCAAUAAAGUUUUUUUCUGAUUCAGCUGAAGGGUCUUUUGAUCAAUUUGGCUAGAAAUCAUAAAUAUGCAAAGUGUAGCUCCCUCUGUGUUAGCAACUCUGAGGUGUGAAUGCCACUGGCUUUCAGCUCUUAGCUUUAGGCUCUCCUCAGUGUUUUUCUCCUGACAGCCAAAGCCAGCAGCCAUCGGUGACUCUGAAACUCUUCUACCCCAGAGCCAGUAGCUACCUAGAGCUCUCUGAACUGUUCCAGCAGCCAGUGCUGGAAAUCUUUCUUACUCCCUGCUAUUCUUGAACUGCUAGUUGCCUUCAGUGUUACCAGCACUGGCUGCUGGCUGCUUUUAUUGCCAGCAGCCUCAGUGUUACCAGCUCUUAGUGCAACCAGCUCAGCCUGCAGUACUUGAGAUAAAAAUUAUGAAUAGGGAAGAUAAAACUUCAUUUUAAAGAGGCUUUAUUAGGACCUAUGCUGCAGCAUAAGAAAGGCUAAUACAGGAAGCAUUCUGAUAAGGGGAAGGGGAAAGCUGUUUAUAUAGAUCAAAAGGAGGGCUGGUGUGUGCAGGCACAGUGUCCUAGCAACUAACCACAGGCUUUCUGCUUGGACAUGCAUGGGGGAGGGGCUCCUUGUGGACUGAAUUAGGAACAGCUAAAGAGAUGGCAAAGGAAUAGAGUCAUCCAGGUGACUGAGGAUGGUGUCAUCUGGGCUGGAGCCACUACAGAAGUUAUCAGAGCCAAAACAAAAUGUUUCCAACAGGCCACAGUGCAUCUUCUUUAGCACAGCCUAGGUGUGAAGAGUUUGGGGGCAGCCAUAUCCAGAAGUUUUUAAUGUUGGGGAUUGAACCAAGGAGCACUAUUGCCACUGAAUUACCUCUCCAUUCAUUUUUUUUUUUUUUUUGUAUUUUUUAUCUUGAGGCAAGACUUUGCUAAGUUGCUAAGAGUCUCAAUAAAUUUUUGAGGCUGGCCUCAAAUUUGCAAUCAUUCUGCCUCAGUCUCUUGAAUUACUGGGAUUAAAGUGAGCACCAUCAUGCCCAUCGAGUUACUGAUGUGUGUAUAUAUGUGGAUAAAAAUUAUUUCUUGGAGAAUAUAAGGCCCAUCUCUACUCAGUCUAAGAAAGAGUUAUGCUGUUCUUGAAAUUUUCAUAUGAGGCUCUUGCACAUUAUAGGGCUUCCUUACACUUCUACCUUUUGGGGAUUGACAGGAAUGAAUGCCUUUUCUCUUUGGUAUGUUUAAAAGAGGUAGUCACUGAAAUUUUAUACUAAUAGGGAAAGGUUGCAUGAAUGGGAAAAAGAAACAAAAAAAGCAAAAAGGCAACUAUUAUGGUUUAGAUGUUAGGUAGUCCCCCAAAAGCUCAUGUGUGAGGCAAUUCAAGAAGGUUUAGAGGAUAAAUGCUUGGGUUGUGAGAGUCUUAAAAACAAUCAUUGACUUAAUCCCCCAACUAAGUGGUAACUGAAGGCAAGUAGUGUGUGGCUGGAGGAAAUGAGGGCAUGUCUUUGUGGGUAUAUAUUUGGUGAGCUGAGCUUAGGCUCCUCUGUUCCCUGGUGUGAUUCUUGAGCUGCUUCCUUCCACCACACUCUUCUGCCAUGAUGUUCAACCUCACCUUGAGUCCCAAGAAAUGAAGCCUGCUAUCUAUGGACUGAGACCUCUAUAACCGUGAGCCCCCAAAUAAACUUUUCUUCCUUAAAAUUGUUCUUAUCAGUUCUUUCAGUCACAGCAGCAAAACAGUUGACUAAAACAGCAACUUUAAAUAAUGGAGGAGUAUUGGAAGAGAAGAGACUAAAUGCUAGCAAAGUGGUUCUGCCAAAUGUUCUGAAAGGACAGCCAAAUUAACUAGUUUGGGACAAACUGCAUACUCUUAACCAAACAAAGGGGAGUCUUGGCCCCAGGAAGGGUUCACCAGCAUUCACCCAAGGACAUGAUCUGGUAGGAGGGCCCAGGGUACCCUAUUCUAUUACAUGGUGCAAAUCUGAUUGCCUUCUCAGAUUUGCACCACCAAAAAGUGGAUUUUUCUGGGUUUCCACAUGGGUUCCAAAAGUGUCAAUGCAAAAUGACUCUUCUUAAAAGGAAAUAUGUUAAUUCUGCAUGAAAUAUGAAUGGCCCUGUCCCAGGAGCAAAGAUUUAAAUUACCCUAAAUUACAUUUCACCAGGGAAGCGAAUACACAAUUGUUAUGGUCAUAGAGCAAAAUAAAGUCAUAAAUCACUACAUUCACCAAUUAUGCCAUUGGGGGCAUCAGGUGGGCAGGCUACAGCAACAUAUAUAUUAGUCAUGCAAAUGUGAGGUCAGAUAUAAAAGUUAAGGUAAUUGGCCGAAGAUAACCCAAUAUAAUUUUGACUCUCGAUUUAGAGCAUUCCAUGUCUUCAUAAUCACAAUGUUCUAGGCAACCAAGCUCAAGCAGUCUGCAGCAUCUUUAACAUAGAUGCAGCUUCCUCAGAGAAUUUCAAUUCAAAAAAGUAACAUCAAACUUCAUAUUCUACUCUGUAGUCUCAAAUGUGAAAUAGAAUAUGAUGCAGUAGAAAAAUUACAAAUCAAUUUAGGACAUGGAUUGGACUCUGAUGCCUUCCAAGUAUGAGAAAAUGAACAAUCCUCUAACUUCUGAGAACAUUUUUUCCUCUUCUGUAAAACUGAGUUUUCAAUUGCUACAGUUCUCUCAAUUUAGUAGCUGUCAAUCUAACAUAGCAUAGAGUGUUUUCCUUUCAUCCUCCCCCCUGUACCCGCCCAUCUUUCUUUUGGGGCAGAUGCAUGACUCUUAGGUUCUUAAGCCCUGUGUUUUUCUUUUUCAACAAGUGCACACUAAACCGUUAGUCUUCCCUUAGUAACUUACAGAAUGAAAGAGUGACUGGUUUUAUGCAAAUUGAUGCUGUCUUUAUUACAAUGCAAAAUAGCAAAUAUUUCUAUUAGCAAGCAGUUUGCCCACAUGACAUAAAUGUUUCUAACUGUAGAAAACACAUGGCUUGGGGAUCAUGAAUAUUUAAUGGGUUUGAAUUUUAAAGACACUAAGAUAAAAAUAGCCCUUGGAACUCUCAAGUAACGUUGAUUAUACAUUAAAUUUUGCCAUGCAUCAUAAAGAUAAUAUGUCUCUGUGAAUUCCAUUUCUAGUUCUCAUUAUCUGCAUCCUACAUCAUUAACUUUUAAUGAAAGUGGCUUUUAUUUGCUGUCCCAACAUUGGAAAUGUUCAUUUUUCUUCUUCAAAUGCCUAACAAUUUUUGAACAAAGAUUUUUCUUUUGGUAUGCAGUUCAUAUUUACAGCUGUUUUUUAUGCUUUUGAGUUUGUUAUUGCUGAAAUUAGAAGGAUAUAAAGUUGUCAGUAUAAAAAAAAAAUUUGCCAGUGUCUCAUCAUAUCAUACCUUUACCAUAAGAGCAAGAAAUUUUAGGAAAAAAUACCCUGAUAUAGAUUUCCUGGUGCCCCAAGAAAGCAUUAAAACAAU
rnacentral:lncRNA from 1 species